rnacentral:rRNA from 1 species
AAACGACUCUCGGCAACGGAUAUCUCGGCUCUCGCAUCGAUGAAGAACGUAGCGAAAUGCGAUACUUGGUGUGAAUUGCAGAAUCCCGUGAACCAUCGAGUCUUUGAACGCAAGUUGCGCCCAAAGCCAUUUGGCUAAGGGCACGUCUGCCUGGGCGUCACGCAU